GGGUUGUAACCUCUUUUAGCAGGGAAGAAGCGAAAGUGACGGUCCCUGCAGAAAAAGCACCGGCUAACUACGUGCCAGCAGCCGCGGUAAUACGUAGGGUGCAAGCGUUAUCCGGAAUUAUUGGGCGUAAAGAGCUCGUAGGCGGUUUGUCGCGUCUGCCGUGAAAUCCUCAGGCUCAACCUGAGGCUUGCGGUGGGUACGGGCAGACUUGAGUGCGGUAGGGGAGAUUGGAAUUCCUGGUGUAGCGGUGGAAUGCGCAGAUAUCAGGAGGAACACCGAUGGCGAAGGCAGAUCUCUGGGCCGUAACUGACGCUGAGGAGCGAAAGGGUGGGGAGCAAACAGGCUUAGAUACCCUGGUAGUCCACCCCGUAAACGUUGGGAACUAGUUGUGGGGUCCUUUCCACGGAUUCCGUGACGCAGCUAACGCAUUAAGUUCCCCGCCUGGGGAGUACGGCCGCAAGGCUAAAACUCAAAGGAAUUGACGGGGACCCGCACAAGCGGCGGAGCAUGCGGAUUAAUUCGAUGCAACGCGAAGAACCUUACCAAGGCUUGACAUACACGAGAACGGGCCAGAAAUGGUCAACUCUUUGGACACUCGUGAACAGGUGGUGCAUGGUUGUCGUCAGCUCGUGUCGUGAGAUGUUGGGUUAAGUCCCGCAACGAGCGCAACCCUCGUUCUAUGUUGCCAGCACGUAAUGGUGGGAACUCAUGGGAUACUGCCGGGGUCAACUCGGAGGAAGGUGGGGAUGACGUCAAAUCAUCAUGCCCCUUAUGUCUUGGGCUUCACGCAUGCUACAAUGGCCGGUACAAUGGGCUGCGAUACCGUGAGGUGGAGCGAAUCCCAAAAAGCCGGUCCCAGUUCGGAUCGUAGUCUGCAACUCGACUACGUGAAGUCGGAGUCGCUAGUAAUCGCAGAUCAGCAA
rnacentral:rRNA from 1 species